ACUCCUACCAAACUAAAUCAGCCCCAAAUUCUUCCUGAAAAAAUCAGCACCAUCGCGAAACCCCUCUCUCUCUUCUUCACUAGUUGCCACCUGCCGUCGUGCGUCGCGACUCGCACCUCCUGCUACACGCCGCCUGCCAGUCGCCGCGAACCCUAGGAGCCUUGACUCGCGCCGCCUUCAAAAGUCGCCGGCCGUCUGCUCACCGUCGUUAUGAACCCUAGGCGUCGCGCCUCCACCAUUUCUCUUCCUCUUCCUCUUUCCACUUUUAUUCUCUCUCUCAUCUCCUCUGAACUGCUUCAAAACUUGAUGGAGGCUGUAACUUGGUCUACCUGUACGACCUCAAGGCUGUAACUUGGUCUGCCCCUAUUGUGAUGGAGGCUUUAUACAUGAGCUGCCCGAAGUUAUGGGUGCUCACUCCGGUGAUGGUUUCGGACUGGGUUUUCAUUUUGGAUAUCAAACAACCAGUUAUGGGUGCUCACUCUAGUUGAAAAGGUUGGUUUAAUAAUUGGGAAGGGUGGAGAAACCAGAAAAUUGCAGACAAGAUCUGGGGCACGUAUUCAGACCAAUCUAGUUAGAAGAUGGUCCGUGUGACUGGUAACAAGAAGCAGAUUGAGACUGCAAGAGAAAUGAUCAAAGAAGUUAUGAAUCAGAUAAAAAUCACAAGUCUCAAUUUUCUUGCAACAUCUGCAGCAAGACCUUCAAUAGAUAAAAUAACAUGCUGGUAUGCUUAAUUAAGUACUACCGAAAUUUAUUCACAAGUAAUUUUGUUAUGAGGUAAUUAAAAUUAUAUUCAUGAAUCUUUAAUGUUUGGUUUGUUCAAUUUGGCGUAAAAUGUGUAAGGAUUUUUGAAGCUAUAUAUGACUAUUAAGUUUAUAGGAUCAAGAUUAGUAUAGUAGCUUCUUUGAGAAUCUUUAAUCUUUAAGGGUUUAAACAUGUUUGUUCUUGACUUGGGCUAAUAUUAGUAUAUACAGGGAAGAGGCCAUAGAUGCUCUUAUUUCCUAGUAAGACAAUUUCUUCUGCUCAUUGACAGCUCAUUAACAUAAAAAACACUACCAUUUCCCAUUGCUUCUUGGUAAGACAAUAUUGAAGAUAUUGAAGAAAUUGUCUUACUAAGAAGCUGUGAUAUUUUGUAUAGGUUUUAGUUCUGCCCAUUGCUCUAUAUUCUUGCAAAAAACUAGGAGGAAUAAUUUCAUUGCUAGAUGAAGCUUGGUAUGUUUUUUAAAUGUUUAUCUCCUUAUUUAUGAUGCUCUACAUUGUGAUUCUUGGUUGGCUCUUUGUAUGAUUUUGUGGCAGGUUUGUGGUGGAUUAAAUGAGCUGUACGUUGAGCUGAAGAGGCUUGUGAAUUCAGAAGAAAAGUUGUACCAGAUGGCUAGCUAGUUGCAUAUUUAAUAUGUUUAGUAUUUUUGUAAGGCAUAAUAGU